ensembl:miRNA
CUAUUGAGACAUAGCCAGUUGGGGAAGAAUGCUGUUACCUUAGAGAGAAGCUGGAUUGUUCUCCAACCUGGCUCUUUAUGUUGCCGG